rnacentral:rRNA from 1 species
AUUGAACGCUGGCGGCAGGCCUAACACAUGCAAGUCGAGCGGAUGAAGGGAGCUUGCUCCUGGAUUCAGCGGCGGACGGGUGAGUAAUGCCUAGGAAUCUGCCUGGUAGUGGUGGAUAACGUCCGGAAACGGGCGCUAAGACCGCAUACGUCCUGAGGGAGAAAGUGGGGGAUCUUCGGACAUCACGCUAUCAGAUGAGCCUAGGUCGGAUUAGCUAGUUGGUGGGGUAAAGGGCUCACAAGGCGACGAUCCGUAACUGGCCUGAGUGGAUGAUCAGUCACACUGUAACUGAGACACGCUCCAGACUCCUACGGGCGGCCGCAGUGGGGAAUAUUCGACAAUGGGCGAAAGCCUGAUCCAGCCAUGCCGCGUGUGUGAAGAAGGUCUUCGGAUUGUACAGCCCUUUUAGUUGGGAGGAAGGGCAGUAAGUUAAUACCUUGCUGUUUUGACGUUACCAACAGAAUAAGCACCGGCUAACUUCGUG